UUUAAGUUUCUCACAUGUAUUAGUAUAUUUAAUUUGCACAAUAACCAUAAGAAGUAGGUGUCAUUAAUACUCAAACAUUAGAUGAGGAAAGUAAAUCAAAGGGUUAAUAAAUAACUUGCCCAAAGUCAUACGGCCAUAGGGUGAUUUGGCUCCAGAAUCUAUUACUUACACAUUACUCCUGGGCUUUUGGAAUGAGAAACUGAGGACGGUGUUGCCAUAAACUGGAAUAGGGAACAUUGGAGAAGCAGUGAAUCUGGGCUAAGGCGCAAGAUGACUUACGGACAGGUUGAAUUUAAGGUACCUCUGAGAUACGCAACUAGGGAAGACAGUCCUGGCAUUCUCAAGUUGAAUAUAAACAGAAGAUAUCAUUUUGGGACUUAUCAAAGUAUAGAUGAUAAUGACAGCCAUGGGAUGCAUGAAAGCAUUCAGGAUUACAGUAUAGAGUAAAAAAAAGAAAGCCUAUAUGAAGUACAGGAAGGGGUGUUGGCCUCAUUGUCUAAGGAGGAAAUGCUAGGGUAGUAGAACAAUGGGAUUAUGCUGUCACAAAAACCAAAGGAAAAACAUAAUUUCUUAAAUUGUCGUCUGCCACUGAAUCUGGCUAUAAAACCUUAUCUUGCACUAAAAGGAUUUGUAGCUUUUCAGCUGAGAAUGGAUUCAGGAUACUGAAUCAACACAAGAAAAGAGAGAAACGGGAGAUGAAGAAAACUCAGCUACAUUUCCUAUAGGAAGGAGAGAUUUUAACACGCUCAGAUAUACGCUGGGAACAGUCUACCAACAUUGUUGGCAAGUCUGAUACCUGUUAGUUCACAUCACCUUUUCAGAAAAAAGAAAGGCAUUUAACUGCCAAUGGGAGGAGAAGCCCAUAAUGUUAAUAACUUGUGUAUUAUGUUAAUUGUCUGUUUUAAAAGAAAGUAGUGUUAAGAUAUGCUUUUUCUGUGCAUUAAACUUUGCGAAAAUUCUGCAUAAUUAUGACUUAAUAGUAUUUUUGAACAAUGCUUAACAUACUAACCUUACAUACACUCUAGACCAAAAUAAGAAAGCAUCUUAAUUUACACCUUGAUCUCUCAAAAAUUAAUCAUGUCUUUGGUGAAUGGUUUUAUAUAUACAUAUACCUAAAGCAUAUAAGACUUUGGCACCUGUGUUCUGUAAAGAGAAGGUUGAUUUGUUUUUUAGCUGUCGUAUUUGGAGUGGAACUAUAAUACAAAAGUAUAGUAUUCUUUUUUUUUUUUUGAGAUGGAGUCUCGCUCUGUCACCCAGGCCUGGAAUGCAAUGGCGCUAUCUUGGCUCACUGAAACAUCCGCCCCCUUGGCUCAAGCAGUUCCCUGUGUCAGUCUCCUGAGUAGCUGGGAUUACAGGUGCCCACCACCAUGCUCAGCUAGUUUUUGUAUUUUUAGUAGAGGUGAGUUUCACCAUCUUGGCCAGGCUGGUCUUGAACUCCCGACCUUGUGAUCUACCCACCUCGGCUUCCCAAAGUGCUGGGAUUACAGACGUGCACCACUGAGUCCAGCCUAUAUUCUUGUUUAUCAAUUCAAAGAUGCUCUGCACUGUUUUUGAAUCUUUAAAAAUAACUUAGAUGCAAAUUUAUUGCAGAAAAAAACAACUUUCAGGUAAGAGGUGUUCUCCAGGGUGGAAGAACUACUUGGCAUGUAAGAAAUAGUGGUCCUAAUGCAUAUUGUGACUGUUUGCAUAGAUUUCUGUUUGUAAAAUCAUCAGUUUUACUUUUCAGAUGAUUUGUAAGAAUCAUUUAAAUUUUCAUUGAAAUAAAUGAGAAGUCAUACUGUCACUUAAAAAAAAAAAAGAAAGGGAGACCUUUGUUAAGGAGAGUGCAGUCAACCAGUAAAUUGCAGGUUCUCAGAACGUUUACUGACGUACUAAUUAUUAAUUCCCUUAUACUCUAACAUCUGUAUAUUUUUACCAGUGUUCUCAGACCACUUCUACCAAAACGUAAAUCUGUGAUUGUGAUCUCUGAAAGUCAGUGCUUUUAUCUACUCAAUAACUGAUCUGAUAAUGUCAAUUUUUGAAAACGGAUAGUUACAACUCAGGGCUUUGAGAAUGUAAAGAGACCACCUUUGCAUGUUGGGAAACGGUACGAUUUCACGUUGUCAGUGCAGUUCCCUUCUCGGGGGAAAGAAGCGUGAAACUGUCAGGAAGACAGGAUGAAGUGAUUUGCCUAAGGCCAUAUUGUCAAACAAGGAAUUCAUAUUCACCUUUCUGGAAUUCUUAGGAUAAUGAUUACAAGUGUUCAAUUGUUAAAAAUUGGCAGAUAAAAUUGUAUGUAUUUACCAUGUACAACACAAAAUUUUGAGGUAUGUAUUCUGGAAUGACUAAAUCCAGUUAACAUAGGCAUUGUCUCACAUAGUUACUUUUGUGGUGAGAACAGUUAACAUUCACUCUCAACAUUUUCCAAGAAUACAAUAUAUUACUAAAAACACUCACCAUGCUGUAAAACAGAUCUCUUGAAGUAUUCCUCCUAUAUAAUUGAAAUUUUGUAUCCUUGGACCAAAAUCUCCUCACUCUCCUCACUCCUCAAGCAUCCCUACCCUUGGAAACCACAGUUCUCCUUUCUCUACUUCUAUGAUAUCAGCUUUCAAGAGGAGACCUUGUGGCAUUUGUCUCUCUGUUCCCAGCUUAUUUCACUUAACGUAACAUCCUCUAUGUUCAUCCACGUGCAAACCCCUAAGUUCAUGUCCUUUUUUAAGGUUUAAUAGUUUUCUAUUGUGUACAUGUGCCACAAUUUAUUUGCCCAUCCACUUCUUGAUGGAUGCUUUAGUUGUUUCUUUCUGUACCUGAGCUAUUGGGGACAAUGCUCCAGUGAACAUCAGAGCACAGAUAUUUUUACAGGGUGGUGAUUUCUUUUCCUUUGGAUAUAUAAACCCAGAAGAGAAAGUGCUUGGUCAUAUGUUCUUUUCUUUUCUUUUCUUUUCUUUUCUUUUCUUUUCUUUUCUUUUCUUUU